rnacentral:rRNA from 1 species
ACAGAGGUCCCGAGCGUUGUUCGGAUUCACUGGGCGUAAAGGGUGCGUAGGUGGUGAGGUAAGUCGGAUGUGAAAGCUCCAAGCUCAACUUGGAAAUGGCAUUGGAAACUACCUUGCUAGAGGGUUUGAGGGGGGACUGGAAUACUUGGUGUAGCAGUGAAAUGCGUAGAUAUCAAGUGGAACACCAGUGGCGAAGGCGAGUCCCUGGAAAACUCCUGACACUGAGGCACGAAAGCUAGGGGAGCAAACAGGA